GUGGGGAAUCUUCCGCAAUGGACGAAAGUCUGACGGAGCGACGCCGCGUGAGUGAAGAAGGCCUUCGGGUCGUAAAGCUCUGUCAUCAGGGACGAACGGCCGGUGGAGUGGAAAGCCACCGGAUUGACGGUACCUGAGAAGGAAGCCACGGCUAACUACGUGCCAGCAGCCGCGGUAAUACGUAGGUGGCAAGCGUUGUCCGGAAUUAUUGGGCGUAAAGCGCGCGCAGGUGGGAUCUUAAGUCAAUUUUUAAAGUUCGGAGCUCAACUCCGUGAUGGGAUGGAAACUGGGAUUCUUGAGUACCGGAGAGGAAAGCGGAAUUCCCCGUGUAGCGGUGAAAUGCGUAGAUAUGGGGAGGAACACCAGUGGCGAAGGCGGCUUUCUGGACGGUGUCUGACACUGAGGCGCGAAAGCCAGGGGAGCGAACGGGAUUAGAAACCCGUGUAGUCC
rnacentral:rRNA from 1 species